CAAGAGUUAGUUUAAGUAAAAUAAAGAAUUGUCAUUUCUUAGAAGAGUUAUACUCACUUUUGU
rnacentral:tRNA from 1 species